AUUGAACGCUGGCGGCAGGCCUAACACAUGCAAUUCGAACGAGUCGCGGACGGGUUAGUCAUGUCUGGGAAACUGCCUGAUUGAUCGGGAUAACGACCGGAAACGGUAGCUACUAACUCAUACCAUCGGAUGUCCCCCGAUGGGACUAGCUAGUAGUUGGGGUAAAGUGCAACCUAGGCGACGUUCCCUAGCUUGUCUGAGCGGAUUACCAGCAACACUGGAACUGAGACACGGUACAGACUCAUACGGGAGGCAGCAGUGGGGAAUAUUGCACAAUGGGCGAAAGCCUGAUGCAGCCAUGGCGCGUGGAUGAAGAAGGACUUCGGGUUGUAAAGGACUUUCAGCGGGGAGGCGUUACACGCAGAAGAAGCACCGGCUAACUCCGUGCCAGCAGCCGCGGUAAUUC
rnacentral:rRNA from 1 species